GCAAACUUGGUCAUUUAGAGGAAGUAAAAGUCGUAACAAGGUAACCGUAGGUGAACCUGCGGUUGGAUCAUUAUUGGAAGGAUUUUGUUGGGGGGUAGUAUCUAUCUAUCAUCAACAAGACGGAGCCCCCUUUGUGAACUGGAUAAAGUUGUAUUUUGGCGGUUUCUCAUAGUCAAACCGUCAGAUUUUUAACCACACCAAUAAAAGUCCUUUUUUUAGUGUAUUUUUUGCAAUAUAAAAAAAAAACAACUUUUGACAAUGGAUCUCUUGGCUCUCGCAUCGAUGAAGAACGCAGC
rnacentral:misc_RNA from 1 species